rnacentral:rRNA from 1 species
GACGGGGAGCACUACAACGGGUGGAGCCUGCGGUUUAAUUGGAUUCAACGCCGGAAAUCUCACCGGGGCGACAGCAAUAUGAAGGUCAGGCUGAAGACCUUACCCGAUUAGCUGAGAGGUGGUGCAUGGCCGUCGUCAGUUCGUACUGUGAAGCAUCCUGUUAAGUCAGGCAACGAGCGAGACCCACGUCCACAGUUGCCAGCAUACCCUCCGGGGUGAUGGGUACACUGUGGAGACCGCCGCUGCUAAAGCGGAGGAAGGAGUGGGCAACGGUAGGUCAGUAUGCCCCGAAUCUCCCGGGCUACACGCGGGCUACAAUGGUUGGUACAAUGGGCAUCUACCCCGAAAGGGGAAGGAAAUCUCUUAAAGCCAAUCGUAGUUCGGAUUGAGGGCUGCAACUCGCCCUCAUGAAGCUGGAAUCCGUAGUAAUCGCGUUUCAACAGAACGCGGUGAAUACGUCCCUGCUCCUU